GACAGAGGGUGCAAACGUUGUUCGGAAUUACUGGGCGUAAAGCGUGUGUAGGCUGUUUAGCAAGUCGGAUGUGAAAUCCCCGGGCUCAACCUGGGACGUGCACUCGAAACUGCUGAGCUUGAGUAUCGGAGAGGUUGGUGGAAUUCUCGGUGGAGAGGUGAAAUUCGUAGAUAUCGAGGGGAACAUCAGUGGCGAAGGCGGCCAACUGGACGAUUACUGACGCUGAGACACGAAAGCGUGGGGAGCAAACAGG
rnacentral:rRNA from 1 species